rnacentral:lncRNA from 1 species
AUUUCGGGACGCUUGUUUAAGUCCAUAAAGGGACUGAUUCAGGCGGCAAACUGAGUUCUCCCCCUGUGGAGAAUAUCCGUGAGGGAGAGACAUGUAUACUUCCUUUUUUGGAACAUGUUAAGGCUUUACGCUCUAACUCACUGUAACAACUCUAGGUGUCGUCGCGCCUAAGUUAUCAUUCUUUUUCCACUGUCUGAUUGCAGUAGGGGUUCACGUAGGAUGGUUAAGCCAGGAGCAGGACCGAGACUUUGCUUAGCCAACACAUCUUCACAUUGCCUUCCCUCCAAAUAUGUCUCAAUUCACACCCCCAAUCAAUUCAGGCAACGAGCUGAGUUCUCCCCCUGUGUAUAAUAUCCUUGAGGGAGAUACAUGUAUACUUCCUUUUUUGGAACAUGUUAAGGCUUUACGCUCUAACUCACUGUAACAACUCUAGGUGUCGUCGCGCCUAAGUUAUCAUUCUUUUUCCACUGUCUGAUUGCAGUAGGGGUUCACGUAGGAUGGUUAAGCCAGGAGCAGGACCGAGACUUUGCUUAGCCAACACAUCUUCACAUUGCCUUCCCUCCAAAUAUGUCUCAAUUC